rnacentral:rRNA from 1 species
GACGAACGCCGGCGGCGUGCCUAAUACAUGCAAGUCGAGCGAAUUUUUUCUGGUGCUUGCUCUAGAAAGACUUAGCGGCGAACGGGUGAGUAACACGUAAAGAACCUGCCUCAUAGACAGGGCCAACUAUUGGAAACGAUAGCUAAUACCGGCUAACAGCAUUAACUGCAUGGUUGAUGUUUAAAAGUUGGUUUUGCUAACACUAUGAGAUGGCCUUGCGGUGCAUUAGCUAGUUGGUGGGGUAAAGGCCUACCAAGGCGACGAUGCAUAGCCGACCUGAGAGGGUGAUCAGCCACACUGGAACUGAGACACGGCCCAGACUCCUACGGGAGGCAGCAGUAGGGAAUCUUCCACAAUGGGCGAAAGCCUGAUGGAGCAACGCCGCGUGAGUGAAGAAGGUCUUCGGUUCGUAAAGCUCUGUUGUUAGGGAAGAAUGAUUGUGUAGUAACUAUACACUGUAGAGACGGUACCUAAACAGAAAGCCACGGCUAACUACGUG